GGUUGAGAGAUUCCUUGCUGCAACAGAUACUCAAACGAAGGCAUCCAUUCAUCUCUGUCUCACUUUCCUUUGGAGAGUGAGCACAUACUUACUGGUUUCAGAAUUCAAGUGAUGCCAGGAUUCUUGCAAAAUUCUUCCACAAACAAAUAGUGCUCUGAAGGCAUUUUGAAGGUCUUUGGAAUAAAGGCACAUUUUGUUGCCUCAAGCUUUCCUGCUUCUAACUGCUUCUGAAACCUCUUCAGGUUCUUCACUAAGCAGUUCUUCUGAAUCAACUGAGUAGAAAAAGAAAUAUAAGGUUCAGCUCAACAAAUGCUCCCACAGUCUGACUCGCUUUAAUUGCCCUUGAGAAGUUUCUGGUGGCAUCUGGGGAUCAACUGCACCACAUACUCUGAAGAGAAAAAUAAACAAACAUGGAUACCAU